AGAAUCCAAAACCUCAGCAAGGUAGGCAAGCUGAAAAAGCUCCGAAAAAGCCAAGCAAGCUGCUUUUAUCUUCCGACCCAGACAAAAUCCCUCUCCAAACUGGGCCAGUUUAAGGUCAAUAAGUGAUUGCAAUCAGCUGGCUCAAGUGGGUGCUUCCUGGAAUGGCGAAGCUAGGCAGUUUUGCCAGAAGUCGUUGCUGUGAGCAUCAGGGUUCAGAGUUGAGUCUUCAACACCAGACCUCUGCGAUGGGCUUCCGGAUUCGAGGCCCCGUCCCUUUCUCAGAAGUAUAUAGAAAGCUGCAUGGUGAAAUGAAUGGUGUCUGUUCCACUUCACAGUUUAUACCCAGCAUCUAACUCAGGACUUGGCACAUCACAGGAGCCUAAUAAAUAUCUGUUGAAAAGUGAACGAAAUAAAAGCUACACUUACGC
ensembl:lncRNA LINC02385 long intergenic non-protein coding RNA 2385